rnacentral:rRNA from 1 species
UACGGGGGGGGCAAGCGUUGUUCGGAUUUACUGGGCGUAAAGGGCGCGUAGGCGGCCAUUCAAGUCAGUUGUGAAAUCUCCGAGCUUAACUCGGAACGGUCAACUGAUACUGUUUUGCUAGAGUACAGAAGGGGCAAUCGGAAUUCUUGGUGUAGCGGUGAAAUGCGUAGAUAUCAAGAGGAACACCUGAGGUGAAGACGGGUUGCUGGGCUGAUACUGACGCUGAGGCGCGAAAGCUAGGGUAGCAAACGGG